rnacentral:tRNA from 3 species
GGACAGGUGGCAGAGCGGUUGAAUGCACCGGUCUUGAAAACCGGCGAGGGUGCAAGCCCUCCGUGGGUUCGAAUCCCACCCUGUCCGCCA